UACGGGUGGCWGCCAGUAGGGAAUCUUCCGCAAUGGGCGAAAGCCUGACGGAGCAAUGCCGCGUGAGUGAUGAAGGUUUUCGGAUCGUAAAGCUCUGUUGCCAGGGAAGAACGCUUGGGAGAGUAACUGCUCUCAAGGUGACGGUACCUGAGAAGAAAGCCCCGGCUAACUACGUGCCAGCAGCCGCGGUAAUACGUAGGGGGCAAGCGUUGUCCGGAAUUAUUGGGCGUAAAGCGCGCGCAGGCGGUCAUUUAAGUCUGGUGUUUAAUCCCGGGGCUCAACCCCGGAUCGCACUGGAAACUGGGUGACUUGAGUGCAGAAGAGGAGAGUGGAAUUCCACGUGUAGCGGUGAAAUGCGUAGAUAUGUGGAGGAACACCAGUGGCGAAGGCGACUCUCUGGG
rnacentral:rRNA from 1 species